AAUCGCGAUGGAGGCCUGGGUCCGCGCCGUCGUGGAGGCCAUCCACUCGUCUCGAGCCCAAGCCGUCAUCUAUCUCGCCGGCGGCGCCUCCCAGGCGCUCGGCUGGCUCCUGUCCGUGCCCGGCGCUUCUGGCAGCGUCCUCGAGGUCGUCGUGCCCUACUCCAGGGCCUCCAUGGCGCAGCUGCUCGGCAAGUUGCCCCUGCAAUUCACAAGCAAGCAGGCCGCAGAGGACAUGGCACUGGCCGCGUUCAACCGUGCCCUGAAGCUUUCUGGACCAGGUCUACAAGUAAUGGGUGUUGGAUUUACUGGGUCGCUCGCUAGCUCACGCCCAAAACAUGGUGACCACAGGUUUUAUGUGUCAACGCGCACACAAAAUUGCCUCAGGACAUCACAUGUAACAUUGUCGAAGGGUUUACGGAGCAGAGAGGAAGAAGACAAGGUCUCAAGCUGUUUUGUGCUUAAGGCAAUUGCAGAUGCAUGCAGAGUUUCUGCAACCAUUCAGUCAGACGUUCAAGAACCUGAAAUUCCAAAAGAAAGUGUGGAACAAUUUGAUGAAGACCAAGAGCUCCAGCAAGUUAUUGAUGGUCAAGUCUGCAUGAAAGUUUACCACUUUGCUGAUCCAACGGAAAAGAACUUCGACAGGAAACUAAUUCUACCUGGUUCAUUCAAUCCCUUGCAUGAUGGCCACCUUAGGUUGUUAGAAGUUGCAUCAAGCAUGUGUGAUGAUGGGUUUCCGUGCUUUGAGAUAUCAGCAAUAAAUGCCGACAAACCCCCCCUGUCUAUUGCAGAAAUUAAGCACCGUGUUGAGCAAUUCAGAAAAGCAGGGAAGAAUGUGAUCAUAUCUAACCAACCAUACUUUUAUAAGAAAGCAGAACUUUUCCCAGGCAGUGCUUUUAUAAUUGGUGCAGACACUGCAGCUAGGCUUGUAAAUCCUAAGUAUUAUGGAGGUGACUACAACAGAAUGCUGGAGAUUCUUCUUGAAUGUAAAAGCACUGGCACAACAUUUCUGGUUGGUGGUCGAGAGAUUGAAGGAGUAUUCAAGGUCCUUGAAGAAUUAAAUAUUCCAACAGAGUUGAAGGACAUGUUUAUCUCUAUACCAGAGGAGAAGUUCCGCAUAGACAUUUCAUCUACUGAAUUAAGAAAAAAACAAGGGCUCUGACGUCUCGAACACUUGGUCCUAUCCUACACCAGAUUCAAGAUGUACCGUACAUCUGGAUGCUAGCAGUCAGGUCUGAACUCAACUGGUGUUUCAUCAACUUCGCUUAUCUGGGACUUGGUUUGUGCAAUCAUAUUUUCUUAUAGCAGGGCCUCUUGGUAUUUUGUUGAGCAAAUUGGAAUCAACCUUCUCAUAGAACUUCUUGAUGUCUUGGCCACCCCUUGCAACGAGAUGGUCCACUUCUGUCUCGUAAUGUUGGUACAACACUGGCAAAGUGUGGGCACACAAGAAUCCUGUGAAAGUAAGAAACACAUACUACUUGUUAUACUAUUUAGAAAUUUCAGUUUUACAUUUUUCUGUGAGACUGCAUUAGUUUAUGUGUUCUCCUAGCAUCCUUUCUGUAGUUACUAGUUAGUUCUACCUUCUGUAUUUGGUUUUGUUGAACGUUACUAUUUCUGUUCUACUUACCAAGGUAGAGUAGGCUUGUGAAGCUGCAAGAACCUCCAAUCACUGACAAUAACAGCAGGGAUCCUACCACCUUAUAACAAUAGAAACAAUUUGAAUGUCAGUACAAGUUUAAGUUGAGCAAUAGCAAAAUAACGUUGUGAAUUAUAUUGGCUAAACGUUGUUUUGAGUGUCGUGUCAUGUCUAAUCUGGUUGAUUCAGAUCUCUUAAGUGUUUCUGUAUUAAUCCAUAAUAUCGGUCUGGAACAAGACUUGUCACAUGGUUUGUCUUUUCUUGACGAAGAUAGC
rnacentral:rRNA from 1 species